CACCUCCAGAGAAAGUAACAACUCUCAGUUGAUUAGCUGAGGAAGACACCAAAUGAGCUACACUGUUUUGGACUCCCCAACACAACCCAGCCACCGGCUGAAUGCCACCAAAUUACCUUCUAGUUAAAGCUUUAUGGAGCAAACGAAUCACCUAUUCAAUAUCUGCUUGAAUUUCUGACUCAAAAUAUAUCAGAAGCUUCAGGGGCUGGAUCCUGACAUGAACCAGGCACCUCCAGAAUUCUAUCCCAAGCAAAAGAUUACUUCAAGGCCAGAACUCACUCCCUGCUGGAGACUGACUACAAGAUCCACUGAGAUUGACUUGUAACCUGAUUGGGCCCACAGUGAUGCUAGCCCCUUCACCAGAUGGAACAAUAAUUCCAGACAAGCCAUCAGAGCAGAGAGCAGAGAAGAGGAGAAGCAGCUGGACGUCUCUUGACGUUGGAGAAAAGCAGCUUGACUUCAGAGGGACAGUUUGACAGCAUGGAUUCAGAAAGGAGAAGAUCACCUUCCUGCUCCAUCCCCUUUCCAGCUCCCCUUCCCACUGAGAGCCACUUACACUGGCAAUAAAAUCCUCUGCAUUCACCACC
rnacentral:lncRNA from 1 species